UUGGGGACGAAGGGUUAGGGGUUAAUAGCCCCGAGCCUGACGGUACCCUUCGAGGAAGCCCCGGCUAACUACGUGCCAGCAGCCGCGGUAAUACGUAGGGGGCGAGCGUUGUCCGGAAUUAUUGGGCGUAAAGAGCGUGUAGGCGGUUCGGUAAGUCUGCCGUGAAAACCCAGGGCUCAACCCUGGGCGUGCGGUGGAUACUGCCGGGCUAGAGGGUGGUAGAGGCGAGUGGAAUUCCCGGUGUAGCGGUGAAAUGCGCAGAUAUCGGGAGGAACACCAGUAGCGAAGGCGGCUCGCUGGGCCAUACCUGACGCUGAGACGCGAAAGCGUGGGGAGCAAACAGGAUUAGAUACCCUGGUAGUCCACGCCGUAAACGAUGAACACUAGGUGUGGGGGGAGUCGAAUCCCUCUGUGCCGCAGCCAACGCGAUAAGUGUUCCGCCUGGGGAGUACGGCCGCAAGGCUAAAACUCAAAAGAAUUGACGGGGGCCCGCACAAGCAGCGGAGCAUGUUCUUUAAUUCGAUGCAACGCGAAGAACCUUACCUGGACUUGACAUGGUGCUGCAAGCGCACGGAAACGUGUGACCUUCGAGGGUGCACCACAGAUGCUGCAUGGCUGUC
rnacentral:rRNA from 1 species